UAAUAAUGUAAGGAUUGUUGGAUUCAAUUAAUUGAGGGCUUGUAUAGGGCUUCAAAACAAAGAAAAUGGUGGUAGUCUUGCAGAAAUGGAGAUCAAAUGUGAGAGAAAUUAAGGAUGGAAGUUUUGAAUUUAGAGAGAGAAAGAUAAAGUUAGGGUUUUUGUGAGAAAAAGCUAGGAGAAGAUGAAUUACGUUCUUCUAAGGUUUAUUUUAUACCUUUCAGCUCAUAUUCUCUAAAAACAAUAAUGAUGAUUCAGGUUUUGAUGGAAGAGAUGAUGAAUAAUAUAUUUUUUUUGUGAUUCUCAGGUAACUUAAUUUUAUUUUGGUUUUUUAUUUGUUUUAUUUUAUUCCUUAGCCCAUUGAACUUUUAUUACUUAAUCCUCAAGCAACUUUAUUUUAUUUUAAUCAUUUAUUUAUUUAUUUAUUGCACUUUAGUCGCUUGUUCUAUUUUACUCUCUAUUUUUAUUUUGAAUUUUUUAUAUUUUUUUCUCACAUAAACAACAUUAACUUCAAUUUAAUUAAAGAAAUAAUUAAAAAUUCUAAAAAAAGCAUGCAAAUAACCGACAUACAUUGAAAAAAAAAAUUAAAAAAAAAGGAGUUGAAAUUGGAUUACAACACUCCUAUCUAAUUAUUAUUACCACGGACACCCUUUGAAGACAACCAAGGAACUAAUUCCCCAUAUUAUUUUGCGAACAUCACAUCUUAAAUAAUUUUAUCACUCAAAUUUCUUAAGCUACUUGAAGUGUAAAGUCAAACUUCUUAAGCUACUUCGAACAACUUGAUGGCCUCUGUAAGCUAAUGUCACGCCUCCCUCCAUUAACAAAUAAUUUGACCUUUCUCCUCUGUUGAUCUUGAAAUUUAAUAUUGCAGUGCUUCUGUACAUGGCAGGAAUUUUUUUUUGCAGCCCGGCCCUCAGUCAUGCUGAUUUCUAAUUAUUAAUUAGGACCACACACACACACCCCCCCAUUAAUUCCUGACCAGGGUAUUUAUUUUAAUUUAAUGUUUUGUGCAGUAGGAAUCUGCCACAGAAGUGAAUUUAUUUUUAAAAAAUAAAUUGAAGUAAUAGGUUUUUUGUUUUUUUUUAAAUUUGUUCUUGAGAUAUCAUCGUAUCAAAACUAUGGAAAAUCAUAAAAAGCUAUAAAUAUUGUUUGUCUGCCUCUACAGUUACAUACAUUAACUCACUUCAUCCCUGUCACUUGUUCCCUUCCACUUCUUCUCUCCUCUGCUCUCCCUGGUUAACUCCUCUUCGAAAGUGGCACCGCCAUUCACUCCUUGAUACUAGUCCUCUGAUAAUUAUAAGAAAACAAUCUUGCUGAUUUCUCUUUUCCCAGCUAAAGUUUUAUCUUCUUGCAAGUAAUUCCUUUGAGGUAGGUAAUUUUAAAUAGCUAGAGCUAGCCAUGGUGAUGAUGGGACUACAGAGGUUGAUGGUGUUCUUGAAAUCCAGAAUGAGGUUCUUGAAGAUGAAGAAACCUUAUGAUAAGAUUGAGAAGAGUGAGAGCAUGAGAGUUGAAAUAAGAAGCAGGAAGGCCAGGAAGCUCGUUGAAGAGACAUUGAAGAUCGCUGAUUCUCCAAAGACCAAGACGUAUGCUUUCUGAUCAGUACUACUGUUCUUGAGUAUUUCCUCCCGGAUGUUUAGUUGCUACAACACAUGUACGUAGUAUAUAUAUAUUGAAGAUAAUAUUUACAUGUCCUUUCUCUUUUAAUUAUUAA